rnacentral:lncRNA from 1 species
AGAAAUUUCUAUGCCACUUUACCCUGCUUUCAACAGACAUACAAACAUCUUUUUAGGCAUUUAUAGCGUUAACAUUUCCUUUGCUUUCAGCGUUUAGCAUCCACAGCAUUUUAUAUCAGCAUGGCACAGAUCCACCUGACACCGUUACUGGAGUGCAGAAACACAGACUCACCUUGCUUGUCAUAACUGAUUCUGAGCUCAGAAAAUAUCUCAGCAAUAUGAUGAAACAACUGAAAGAUUGGCUGUACAAGUGUUCAUUCAGAAACUGGUGGUCUUCUUUUCAAAUAUUGAAAGUGGUACCAGCUGGAUAUUGAAUGCGAAACACUGCAAAAGAUGACGUAGAGCUAUGGAUUAAAAAAAUAAAAAUUUGAAUUUUUCAUAACA